rnacentral:guide_RNA from 1 species
ACAACCACAGAUAAAGAUAGACGUAAGUAGAGAGAGAAGAUAAAGAA